rnacentral:lncRNA from 1 species
UUCCCAAAAGUUGUUUGAUAGUAUACAGGCAUGAGAUGGUGUGACUCUAACUCAUUAGAUGCCUUCGUCUUUUCAGUCAUCAUGUGAUGGAAAGAAAGCUAUCAACUUCAUUCCUGAGACUUCCUGCAACACAGAUCCAUCUAAACUUUUACUUCAUUGGAGGGUCCUUCCUGACCCAUGCAACUCAACAAAAAACUCUCACAGUUUUUAUAUGCUUUGUUGGGGAUUAACCCAUCUUGCAUUGCAUUGCUAGCUUAGUAUGUCUAGCAUGGGCAUGCCUGCUGAAGUUUGGAACUUCCCAUCAAGGAAACAGGAAAAUGCCAUUGGCAAUGAGCUGAAGACUGAUUUACUCUACCAGUUUGGAACAUCUGUUAUUGCUGCUACUACGGUUUCUAUCACUGUUUGAUGCUGGGACUCUUAAGCUCCAACCACGUUUUCACCGAGCUGAGUCGCCUUCUUAUCACCCCUUUCUGGUG